rnacentral:lncRNA from 1 species
CAAGGGCUGCUCUAAAAACAGCCCAGGGAGGCGUUACACAGGCCGGGGGUACGCAAGGUACGCAGGCAUUCCUUUGGAUGCUUCACUCCCCAGAGGCAGUUGAGGCAAGUCCUCAUGUCUAACCGAAGGUGGGGUUGUGAGGCUGACACCACUUAGAUUGACCUUAGUUUAAUAGCGCUUUGUUGUCUCUCUUGCCACAGGAAGGCGCCAGGGUUGUCCUACUUUAAGCCUUCGGGUGCCUUUAUUGAGGGGUACCUGAAAAAUCUUGAAGAGUACCAUCUGAAAGAACUAGUGGUUCCCAAUCCCCACAUUUAAAUGGAAUGUUUGGUUUGUUUAU